rnacentral:rRNA from 1 species
CAGUCGCCGCGGUAAAACGAGGGGUGCAAGCGUUAUUCGGAUUGAUUGGGUGUAAAGGGUGUGCAGACGGCUUAUUAAGUCACUUGUUAAAUUCUUCGGCCUAACUGAAGGUCUGCAAGUGAUACUGAUGAGCUAGAGGGUGGAAGAGAGAAGUGGAAUUCUCGGAGUAGCGGUAAAAUGCGUAGAUCUCGAGAGGAACACCAAUGGCGAAGGCAGCUUCUUGGUCCAUUCCUGACGUUCAUACACGAAAGCGUGGGGAGCAAACAGGAUUAGAUACCCGCGUAGUCCCUGUCUCUUAUAC